UGCGGUCGUGCAUGCGCUCGAUGACGUUCGGGGUGCUGCUCCGCACGAAAUGUUAAAAAUGGCGCAUUAGCAGAAGAAAACGAGAAACACUACGUGGUCACGUCGUGCUCUGCGUCAUUUAAAGAAACCAAUUUCUGUGACACUAUAUCAAAAUGUCUGAAGAGGUGAAAUUAACUGGCCUUUCAAAAUAUUUCAAUAAUUCGACAUUCCACGGACGAGCUAAUGUUGCGAAAGCGACGUACGCUGUGAUGGGUCUGAUCGGUCUCUACUUCGCCCUUAAGCCAAAAAAGAAGCAGUAAUAUGUCAAAUUUUAGAGUAUCAUCUUUUUUUGUUCUCCGACGGACUGUAGAACUCCAAGAGUGCUUACAUAACAAUUAUGUUGGUCAAAAGAAAAACUUGUAAUAUGACUUGUGUGCUCAAUCUAAUACAAGUUUAGCCAAGCA
rnacentral:lncRNA from 1 species